rnacentral:rRNA from 1 species
GACGUAGGGCGCGAGCGUUGUCCGGAUUUAUUGGGCGUAAAGAGCUCGUAGGCGGCUCGUUGCGUCGGCUGUGAAAACCCGCAGCUCAACUGUGGGCUUGCAGCCGAUACGGGCGGGCUUGAGUUCGGUAGGGGAGACUGGAAUUCCUGGUGUAGCGGUGAAAUGCGCAGAUAUCAGGAGGAACACCGGUGGCGAAGGCGGGUCUCUGGGCCGAGACUGACGCUGAGGAGCGAAAGCGUGGGGAGCGAACAGG